AAUGAACGCUGGCGGCAGGCCUAACACAUGCAAGUCGAACGGAUCCUUCGGGAUUAGUGGCGGACGGGUGAGUAACGCGUGGGAACAUACCCUUUGGUACGGAAUAGCCUCGGGAAACUGGGAGUAAUACCGUAUGUGGUCGAGAGACGAAAGAUUUAUCGCCAAAGGAUUGGCCCGCGUUGGAUUAGGUAGUUGGUGGGGUAAUGGCCUACCAAGCCGACGAUCCAUAGCUGGUUUGAAAGGAUGAUUAGCCACACUGGGACUGAGACACGGCCCAGACUCCUACGGGAGGCAGCAGUGGGGAAUCUUAGACAAUGGGGAAACCCUGAUCUAGCCAUGCCGCGUGAUCGAUGAAGGCCUUAGGGUUGUAAAGAUCUUUCAGGUGGGAAGAUAAUGACUGUACCACCAGAAGAAGCCCCGGCUAACUCCGUGCCAGCCGCCGCCGUAAAAC
rnacentral:rRNA from 1 species